rnacentral:rRNA from 1 species
UCGAGAAUCAUUCACAAUGGGGGCAACCCUGAUGGAGCGAUGCCGCGUGCAGGAAGACGCUUUUCGGAGUGUAAACUGCUUUUAACAGGGAAGAUUAUGACGGUACCUGUAGAAUAAGGACCGGCUAACUACGUGCCAGCAGCCGCGGUAAUACGGAGGGGGCUAGCGUUGUUCGGAAUUACUGGGCGUAAAGCGUACGUAGGCGGAUUGGAAAGUCAGAGGUGAAAUACCAGGGGUCAACCUUGGGAC